rnacentral:tRNA from 1 species
AGAGCAGUAGUUUAACGGGGAAAACAACAGAUUUCUGAUUUCGUUUGUAGGUUCGAGUCCUAUCUGCUCUG